CCAAUGUUUCCUUCAAGGUGAACUAUAACCUUUGUGAGAGGCUGGGAAUCGAAAGAAGCCUGUGUUCCCCGUAUCAUCCACAGACAAAUGGGCUCGUGGAAAAAUUAAAUGGAACAAUACAGAGGUCCCUGAACAAACUGGUGGCGGGUGAGCCCAAGCGUUGGGACCAAUUCCUGCAGCCCACCAUGUUCACUCUGAGAACCAAAACUCAGCUGACUACAAAGUUCAGUCCCUAUUUUCUGAUGUUUGGGAGGGAGGCGAGGUACCCAUCAGAGGUGCCCAAGGAGUACAAAAUAACAGAAGACAAAGUGAAAAGGAUGGUGGAAAGGGAAGAUGUCUGGAAGGGACUUCAAAAACAGGAGGCCGUUUUCACGCUUGUAAAGAAAAACAUU